ACGGAGGGUGCAAGCGUUAAUCGGAAUUACUGGGCGUAAAGCGCGCGUAGGCGGUCUGGUCAGUUGGGUGUGAAAUCCCCGGGCUUAACCUGGGAACUGCAUCCAAUACUGCCAGGCUGGAGUAUGGGAGAGGGUAGUGGAAUUCCACGUGUAGCGGUGAAAUGCGUAGAUAUGUGGAGGAACACCCGUGGCGAAGGCGACUGCCUGGCCCAAUACUGACGCUGAGGUGCGAAAGCGUGGGUAGCGAACAGG
rnacentral:rRNA from 1 species